UCUACCUCCCGACGCUUAGGAAUUACACAGCAAUGAACGAGGAUGUGCAAGUGUCUCUCCCAGAUUUGCUUUCAAUGCUUAUGGAUAUAACAUCAGAAGGGAGACCGCUCCAUCAUGCGUGAGACAAGCUGAGCGUCAUCGUCAGAAAGAAGGCAGCUGACGGUCCACUUCCAAUGUGACUCUUUCAUCCAGAUGAUACUUCCAUGUGACCCAAGCCAGUGCGGUCCCCAGAAACCCAUCGUGAAUUCCAUAUUGUCUGACAGAACGUCUUACACGUGGACUCACAGACUCAGUAUAUUCAAGCAUGAGGAACCAAAACAAAAGAUAAACAGGAGAAAAUGUAGUUUGGAUUAUUUUAUUCUACUUGGGCCCAUAAAGUACAGACAUGCAAAAAUUAUCAAUUGAACACAGGACACAAAGAAAACAGAAGAAUGCAAGUGGGGUGACCCGACCGGUGACUCUCUGCCUCUUUAGCUGCAACGUACAGGACAGAGCUGGCCACCAGCAGGGCAGCCAGGAAGCAGCGUCCCAGGCUGUGGCUCAGGAAGGGGCUGUUGCAGGUGGGACCUCGCCCCAGUCCGUGUGCUCCGUCAGCCUUCCCACUGCCCCACCAGCUCCAUCCUAACCGAGUCUGGAGACCUCCCAGCCCAGGGGAACACCAUGAGAAUCAUGUCCCGCUGGACAGACUGCACCCCCCACUCCUCUCUGGCCUCUCGCAGAAGCUGGGACAUAGCGGAACCAGGGCCCCCGGGCCCCCUUGGCCACCUUAACCACACGCAUCAUUCAAACGUUCAUUUCUGGUGUUCACACAGUCUCAACCUGCACGCAUCCCCCUCUAUUACAGGUCUUUCCCUCCACCAGCUGCUGAAGCAAGAAUCAUGAGAGUCACUGUUGAAUUUUUCUGCUCCUCCCGGGCCCACGUGGAAACUGUCACCAAAGCCACCAUAGGUCCCCCACCUGUGCCAAUAUUCCUCAUGUUUCUCUACCACCUUCUUGUCCACUCCAACCACUAGUCCACAUUGUCAUUUCCUACAUGGACCUGGCCGGGUCUAACCACUCUUCCAAGGGGAUUAGGUUCCUACUGUUGCUGUAACAAAUUACCACACACUUAGUGGCUUAAAACAACACAAUUUGUUAAUCUUACUGUUUUUUA